UUGCUGACAAGGCUGCCUACCUGAUGGGUCUAAACUCAGCAGAUCUGCUCAAGGCCCUCUGCUACCCCCGAGUCAAAGUUGGGAAUGAAUAUGUGACCAAGGGUCAAACCGUGCAGCAGGUAUACAAUUCAGUGGGGGCCCUGGCAAAAUCUGUCUUUGAGAAGAUGUUCUUGUGGAUGGUUGUUCGCAUCAACCAACAGCUGGACACCAAGCAGCCCAGACAGUACUUCAUUGGUGUCCUGGACAUUGCUGGCUUUGAGAUCUUUGAUUUCAACAGCCUGGAGCAGCUGUGCAUCAACUUCACCAAUGAGAAACUGCAACAGUUCUUCAACCACCACAUGUUCGUGCUGGAGCAGGAGGAGUACAAGAAGGAAGGAAUUGAAUGGGAGUUCAUUGACUUUGGGAUGGACCUGGCUGCCUGCAUUGAGCUCAUUGAGAAGCCCAUGGGCAUCUUCUCCAUCCUGGAAGAGGAGUGCAUGUUCCCCAAGGCAACUGACACCUCUUUCAAGAACAAGCUCUAUGACCAGCAUCUGGGCAAGUCCAACAACUUCCAGAAGCCCAAGCCUGGCAAAGGCAAGGCUGAGGCCCACUUCUCCCUGGUGCACUAUGCUGGCACAGUGGACUACAACAUCACUGGCUGGCUUGAGAAGAAUAAGGAUCCCUUGAAUGAAACUGUUGUGGGGCUGUACCAGAAAUCAUCCCUGAAGACACUGGCUUUACUCUUUGCCUCUGUUGGUGGGGCAGAAGCAGAGAGCGGUGGUGGUGGUGGCAAGAAGGGCGGCAAGAAGAAGGGAUCUUCUUUCCAGACUGUCUCGGCUCUUUUCCGGGAAAAUUUAAACAAGCUGAUGAGCAAUCUACGAAGCACACAUCCCCAUUUUGUGCGAUGUCUUAUUCCCAAUGAAACAAAAACACCUGGUGCCAUGGAGCACGAGCUGGUGCUGCAUCAGCUGCGCUGUAACGGUGUGCUAGAAGGGAUUCGAAUUUGCAGAAAAGGAUUCCCCAGCAGAAUACUCUAUGCAGACUUUAAACAGAGGUACAAGGUGCUUAAUGCCAGUGCCAUCCCAGAGGGACAGUUCAUUGAUAGCAAAAAGGCUUCUGAGAAGCUCCUUGGAUCCAUCGAUGUGGACCACACCCAGUACAAGUUUGGUCACACUAAGGUGUUCUUCAAAGCUGGGCUGCUGGGACUCCUGGAGGAGAUGAGAGAUGAGAAGCUGGCACAGCUCAUAACCCGCACACAAGCCAUGUGCAGGGGUUACCUGAUGAGAGCGGAGUUCAAGAAAAUGAUGGAGAGGAGGGAGUCCAUCUUCUGUAUCCAGUACAAUGUUCGCUCCUUCAUGAACGUGAAGCACUGGCCCUGGAUGAAGCUGUUCUUCAAGAUCAAGCCCCUGCUGAAGAGUGCAGAGUCUGAGAAGGAGAUGGCCAACAUGAAGGAGGAGUUUGAGAAAACCAAGGAAGAGCUUGCCAAGUCUGAGGCAAAGAGGAAGGAGCUGGAGGAAAAAAUGGUUUCUUUGCUGCAGGAAAAAAACGAUCUGCAGCUCCAAGUGCAGGCAGAAGCUGAUGGUUUGGCUGAUGCUGAGGAAAGAUGUGACCAGCUCAUCAAAACCAAAAUUCAGCUGGAAGCCAAAAUUAAGGAGCUAACAGAAAGAGCAGAAGAUGAAGAAGAGUUGAAUGCUGAGCUGACAGCCAAGAAGAGAAAACUGGAGGAUGAAUGUUCAGAGCUGAAGAAAGAUAUUGAUGAUCUUGAGUUAACACUGGCCAAGGUUGAGAAGGAAAAGCAUGCCACAGAAAACAAGGUAUGAGGCAGAACNNNGGAGAGGGCAGCCUUGGACGAGACCAUCGCCAAGCUGACAAAAGAGAAGAAAGCCCUCCAAGAGGCCCAUCAGCAGACACUGGAUGACCUGCAGGCAGAAGAGGACAAAGUCAAUACGCUGACCAAAGCAAAAACCAAACUGGAGCAGCAAGUGGAUGAUCUGGAAGGGUCCCUGGAGCAAGAGAAGAAGCUGCGCAUGGACCUUGAGAGAGCCAAGAGGAAACUGGAAGGAGACCUGAAAAUGAACCAGGAAUCCAUAAUGGAUUUGGAAAACGACAA